UACGUAGGGCGCAAGCGUUGUCCGGAAUUAUUGGGCGUAAAGAGCUCGUAGGCGGCCUGUCGCGUCUGCUGUGAAAUCCCGGGGCUUAACCCCGGGCGUGCAGUGGAUACGGGCUGGCUGGAGGCAGGCAGGGGAGAAUGGAAUUCCCGGUGUAGCGGUGAAAUGCGCAGAUAUCGGGAGGAACACCGGUGGCGAAGGCGGUUCUCUGGGCCUUACCUGACGCUGAGGAGCGAAAGCUAGGGGAGCGAACAGG
rnacentral:rRNA from 1 species